AUGAUGCUGAGAAGGAGUCAAGGCUUCACCAGACUGCCAAAGGGAUCUGCGGCACAAAAAUCUAAGAACCUUUGCUCCAACAUUAUCAUCAUCACAGGUUAAGAACGGUGCCUUACUCUAUUACAGGAGCCUAAGAGAGCACAGCAUACAGAACAGAUGCUCAGCAUUUCUGGAAUUUUUUCGAGUAAGGCUUAUAUAAUUUGAAUUGAUAAUUCGAAGACUGUGACAUCUGCUUAUCGCGUUCUUUUCAUAAUAAGUAAAAUGUGAGAAGGACUAGGCGUGCCCUGUUUGGCAUUCUGGCUUCACGGUUCCUGGACGAGGAGAUAAAUAAGGAAGUGAUGUAAGAACAGUAGCUGAAUAUUUCAAGUAUCUUUGAUCUACUGCGCCAAGAUUACAGAGCAGAGGAAGCUUCUCCAACGCGGCAGGGGAGGGAUGGAGAACAACUUUGUUAAAGACAGAGGCUGGUUUGGGCACCAAAGAGAAGCAGGCUCCGUGACCUGAAAUAAAUCUUUAUAAUUAAA